UUUGUUUAAUAGUGGCAGGACAAAUAUCAUCCGUCGUCUGCUUAAAACUCUUCACUGUGUUGAUGAUGGAGAAAGAGUCGUACACUCACGAACCGGCCACCGGCGGCCAGUUUGCAUGUCCUUCGCGCUUUAAGGUUGCGGGGAACAUUACGUAAAACUGUCAAUGCGGUGGUGUAGUUGGGUGAGAACUGAACGUGUUGCAACAUUAUCAAGCAGACCAAUCCCCAGCACCAUCAACCUAAAGAAGGAAAGGUCCAUUUCCUUCACUUUCGAAGGUCACGAGAAACAUAACGUAAAACGUGUCAUGCGACUGCGGAGAGGCUGGGUGAGGACGACACGUGUUGCACCAUUAUCAAGCAGUAAACUAUGGCGUUGUGCUGCUGUUGGGUGUUGAAUCGCUGACGGUUGGGUCGACCACUGGUGUACCGAUGUCUCCUGGUCCUGUGUAUGGUGGAUAUCAAAGCUCAACAUUGCAGUUAAUACUCAUCAUCAACCAAUGCUGCUCCAGCUUACACCACCAAGGCUUCAGAGUAUUACAAGUUGCAUUAAAGGAGAGAAAAGGCUUUUCCGGCACGACAACAACUUCCGCGCACAAUUUGUCACCAACUGCCUUCUUCAUCGUAUAAAGCGUAAACUGUGGCCUCGUGCUGCUGUUGGUUGCUGUCUUGAAAUACUACACCAUGCACCGAGGCUUCAAAGUAUUACACUACAAUUUAUGCCGCCGCGAGCUGUAUAACCAAAGAGCCUGAACCCACCCCCCAUCAACUUCCAAUUUGCAUGUCCUUCACGCUUGAAGGUCGCGGAGAUCUUUACGUAAAUCUGUCAAUGUGGUGGUGUAAGGUUGGGUGAGAACAGAAAGUGUUUGCUUUAUUAUCGAGCAGGUAUAAUAGCCGUUAGGCUUAGGAGAGGGGUCAGGGUGAGAAAAAGUCGUAUAAAUGGCAAGAGAAAAGUCGAAGGUAUCAGUCGAGUGAGUAUCUCCAUCACGGCAACAACUGCGGCCCACUAUUUGUCACCAACUGCCUUCUUCAUUAUACAACCAGUUCGCAAUCAUGGUUAACUCUGGCGCCGUGCUGCUGUUUGGUGUUGUAUCGUUGAAGGUUGGGUCGACCACGGGUUUACUGAUGUUUUCUGGUUAUGGUGGAGACCAAGCAACAGCAGUGAAAGAAUACUACACCACGCCGCCGCCUUACUACGCAAUGAAGUCAACAUACGCAACAUCUACUUACAACACCGAGGCCCCCCAAGUGCUACACCACCAAUGCUCAAGAGUUACGCUUCAAAUUACGCUGCCCCGAGUUACAUCACCAAAGCGCCUGAGUACUACAUCACCGAGGCACUACAACUGAGGCGGUGAAGUACUACGUAGCCCAGGCUUACAACACGGCAGCUGCUCCUUUAUACUACGUUGAACUGAAAUACUACACCAAGGCUGCAGUUAACUACGCCAGAACCUACGCUACACCUAGCUACUAUGACGAAGCCCCCAACUACUACACCGAAGAGGCCGCAUGUUACACAUCAACGUACAGUGCCCUAGUUUACUACACCGAGGAACCCAAGUAUUAAUCUGCUCCAAGCUACUACCAAACUGAGGCUCCUGUUUGCUACACCAAGGCCACCGAGUACUACACUACAACCAAACGUUAACUAUGGCGUCGUGCUGCUGUUAGUUGUAUUAUCCUUGAUGGCUGGGUUGACUACUGGUGUACCGAUGUCUCCUGGGUAUGGCGGAUACCAAACCGCAACGCCGGCAUCUUACUACACGACAACAUACGCAGCAACCGGAUACUACACCCCCAAGGCCCAAGAAUAUUACACCGUAACUUAUGUCGCGAACUUCUACACCGAAGCUUCAAAGUUUAACUCAGCCCCGAGUUAAAUCACCAAGGCAGCGGAGUACUACACCACCAAGGCAGCGGAGUACUACACCACCAAGGCAACUGAGUAUUACACCACUUAUUACGCUGUUACCACCUACUACACCGAAGCUCCGAAGUUUUACUCUGUGCUGAGUUACCACACCAUUAAGGAAGCCGAACAUUACACCACAAACGGUUCCGCAACUUGCUACGUGGAGAUUCCUAAAUGCUAGAUCUGGAAUUUCUAUUUGAUUUUAUUUGGAUAUGUUGGUUGUCUUCAUAGUCAUUGGUCAUUGGGAAUUAAUUGUUUAUCUUGAUUGAGAAAAUAAAAGUUCUAAUGCCGGUAA